CUUCUUCAGAAUUGCUAUAAUUUUGCAAAUUUUUUAGUUACGGAGGUAAAUUUGAGGGAACAUCAGAGAGAAAAUAUUAUUCUCUUCUCGUUAUUUCUAUAAGAGAGUCUGUAUAAAAUUUCUUUUUAUUUUACAGAAGAAAGUAUGCAUCAAGGCCAAGAAGGAGCAGAAUACACGUGUUUCAAAGGACAGGGAGGGAUGCGCCUAGAUACCUGGGUUGAUAUUUAAUAAAACCAAAGCGGUGGCCAAGACAAAGGGAUACUUGCUCUGAAAAUACGAGGAGCCAACGCAGGCAAUAAGCGGGAAAUUUUAAACGAAAGAUCGGCGAAUGAUUCAUCGAUGGAAAAGAAGGAGCGUUGAAUUGUCGUGGACGCGCCACCCUCUGGGUAGCCCAGUAUCGUGACCCAGUCUGGGUUAAAAGUGUUACAGAAUGGCCACUUCCGCAUAGCAGUAAUUUUCGAAAUCCAUCACUGUCUCCCUUCUUUCACGUUGAGGAUUCUCGAAGGAGGAACGUAUCUACGAAAAAGGGGUUUAAACGGGUGCCGCGCAUUCAGCGAAAGAUCUCCUCUGGUCGGUUCAUCUUGAUCGUCGAUCCGCUCGAGGCCUUGGCAAUCGAACGACGAGAGAGAGAGGAACGAGACGAAAUAAUAGGGAACGAGGUGAGAUAGGAGAGAGAGAGAGGGGAGAGAGGUUAUACAACGGUGCUUAUAGCGAUUAAGCAGCGUCAGCAUCAGCAACUGCAGCAGCGAGCCGACCAGCGAGCCGGCAGCAAUAGGCACACCGGAAAGCAGCGGGAACAACAACAGCGGCAACCAGGUUGCGGCUGUAACGUGGCUCUCGCAUUGGCAGCGAUAUCGAUCGAACCUUCGCCUUUCACCGGCCAUUGUCCAGAACGGUGCCAGCGCUGGAAAUCUAACUGCCGAUAAUUGCCUUCGAACCCGUCAAGUCAUACGCUGUAAUAGCAUAAUAACCGGGGCUAAGCGAUCAGAUUAAGGGAAUGACCGCCCUCCCAUGCCUGCGGCAAGGGUAAACCCUUCCAGAUUUGCGUUAUCCGUCGAGCCUCGCUAUCGUUACGAUGCAGUGAGGUACUUUCACUGUUUCUCGUUUCUUUUUCUUCUUCUUCUUUUCUCUGGUAUAUGGAGGAAUUUGUAUAUGGAUGUUUCAUGAUUUGUGUAGAUGUGAUGUAUUUAGAGUGGGUA
rnacentral:lncRNA from 1 species